rnacentral:lncRNA from 1 species
UUUUUUUUUUUUUUUUUUUUUUUGUCAAUACGAUAACUUCCUACACUAUGGAGAGGGGAGGACCUGAAGAGAACCUGAAAGGAAUUGAACUACCACCGGAUCAGAUGGGUGCACUACACACCCGUCUAAAUUUUUUAAACAAGACCACAUUUAAAUGUGGCAAAUUGGUGGGAGGUAGGGUUCAACCUAGCCUUAAUGCAAGGUUCUGCUGGUUCCGAAAAUAGUAGAAUCCUAGCAUCAAUUUCCGUUUUAACUGUUUCUUUGACUAUUCCCAGUAACUCCUCCUCAGUGAAAAGUGCUUGUCCUUCACCCUUUUGGUUCUUAAUUUUGCUUUCAUGAAGGAAUUAUUGAUACCAUCGACAUCAAGGUCAAGAUAGCAUGUCAAGAAAUGAUCAUGGUAGUUACCGACGGUAUUUUCAGCCUCCCACAAAUAUCCUCAGUUACCUGGUGCUCAAUUAUGUAUGGCACUGACCUGAAUUCAAGGCAAGUGACAAUGGCAGAAAUUACUAGAUAUCCGCCCUGUUUGCUUGGAAAUUAGACUUGCAUUCAUAAGGUCAUAUGAUACUGUAUAUUAAUUAGCUAGUCACCAUUGUUACAUCCAAUCAAGAAAGUGACCGGAGGGCGCCUGAAACACAAGUUUAAGGUUUGCUUUGCUGGAAUUCCCAAUCAAGCACAUAAUCAUAAUUUCCAACUGUAGACACCAUUCUAACCGCUAAAUUAACUUCUUGCUGCCCUGUAAUUAUCUGCAAAACCAGGAAAAUCUUGACCACGAUCAUGAGCUUAGAAUUGCAUUUACUAAUAGGAUUUCUAAAUUUACCACUCUUCCUGGAACACCAAGUUCUGUAUGCCUUCAAGCAGGAUUUCUUUCUCGUGGGUUUAGCAUCUAGACAAUGAGACCGCUGUAUACAGUUAAAAAUGCGUAUCGCCCGAUUUUAGUCCGGCACACCCGUCUGAUGUGGAACGGUACGCAGCGCAGAUGGUUAGUUGGUUACCGAUACCGCAACGUCGAACCGUGCACUUAACCCUACCCUCCCUCCAAAAGAGGUUAUAAAGAAAGAAGUUCUUCUUCUUUUCACUUCACAUGUUCACCACUUAAUACGCAGUUCAAGAACUUGGAUGGUGAAGGUGCUUAUGAUUAGACGUGAGUUUAGGCAAGAUAUUUGCUAUUUAUGAACAGUGCCUAGCUGUUGAUCACUGAAUUAAAAUGGUCAGCCACUUAAAAGAAAGACGAGUAAUUUUCUUGUUCCGUUUCUUAUUGGCGGAUUGUGAUUGUUGCGGACCAUGACUUGAUGUAGUGCCUUGGGGUAUUCUCACCCUUUUGUUUUACCAAUUAUUGCACGCUAAGGACAAUUUCUUUUGGUUUCUGUUAAAGACACCAGUCUUCACUUGAUUGUAUUUUCUAAAAUUCUCAUAGCCAACUCAAAGACAACUCAAAUUCCCAGUUACAGGAGGACUUUCUUGCCGUAUUCCAUACUGAAAGACAUGAUUAAACAGCUGUUCGGUUCAAUGCUGAGCUCAAUUUGUACAGUUAAGACCAUGUUGGCAUUCUUUGCUGCAUUUAAGCUGCUCAACUUUUCCAAGCGAUUUCACUUUAAGUACCGGAUUAUGUCAAAGAAAUUUGCAGACCUGAGCUCAAACCCACAGUUGAUUGUGGGCAUGAUUGGAAAGUCUUCCUGGAUCGGGACAUGGUGAAGGCCUAGUAUGUACCACAGUACAAUGUCCUUGUUCUUUAUCCCUCUAUUCCUGCAAAAACUUAAUAGGAUGAUUUAGUAAUGCAACUAGUCUGACAACUAAUAAACUACUCAAAGAAGGUUAGAAACGAAGCACUGCCUGCGGCUCCGUACAGCUAAGUUGUCAUCUCCUCGGCUCUGAUCAACGAAUGUUCCUCCUGCCCAUUUCUCAGAUUUAUUGUAUGGUGUUACCCGGACGUCGUACUUUGCCAAACCAGUAAGAAUGCUUGGAUAAUCAUCUUAGUUUUCUUGUUAGGAUUCACUACUAACAGCUCCAUUUUUUCUGCAACAAUAACAAUUCUGAACAUUUCUUUUUUUUUUUUCGAUAGCAUUUCACUUGAGUGUCAAAUGCAGUUAAGUCAAGUGGUGUUCCAUUAAUUGUACUUGAGCUCUAUUUGAAGUAAAAUAUUCAAGUUUAUCAAAUGAAAUAAAAUUCAUUAUGGAAUGGAAAAAACGUUUAAAAGGUCUCUCACAUUUCGCCAAAUAAAUUCUUUCAUCCUUUACUUUAAAAAUGAUAACUUUUCAUCCUUUACUUUAAUAUUCUUAGUUUUUUUGCUAGAAUUCACUACUGACAGCUCUAUUUUUUCCGCAACAACAACAAUUCUGAACAUUUUUUUUUCCAACGAUAACAUUUCACUCGAGUGUCAGGUGCAGUUAAGUCAAAUGGGGUUCGAUUAAUUGUACUUGAGCUCUAUUUGAAGUAAAAUAUUCAAGUUUAUCAAAUGAAAUAAAAUUCAUUAUGGAAUGGAAAAAUUGUUUAAAACAUCUCUCACAUUUCGCUAAAUAAAUUCUUUCAUCCUUUACUUUAAAAAUGAUAACUUUCCAUCCCUUACAUAAUUAGAUCGGUAAAAUUUAGUUUCAAUUUAGGUUUUCGACCACUUUUUUUGUGGGGUUUGAUCAUUGAUAGACAAAUCUUAUUUUCUAUAGUUCAUAGUUUUUCAUCCUCAAAGGUGCUUCUGGUUUUUCUUUCCCCUGUUUUAAUCAGUCGAAAUUGAAUAUAAUGGCAUUUAGGUCCUCUAAACUCGAACUUUUCUCAGGAAAAUGCACUCACUUGAACUAAGAAUAUUGUUAGUUGUAGCUCAAUUCAAAUAAUCAGAGUUGUAGCCCAGUAAUUUUUCUAUAUUGGCAGUUAAUAAAGCAUGGUAGUAUGCGUGUCUUGUACUUGUGGUCUUUCUGUGAUCCCUUCUCUUUCGCUCACCAUAGUUGUUUAACUUUGGAUUAUCUUCCGGUUUACGAAGCAUUAGUCGAUUAAUUCUCAAAAGGGAAGAAGGCAAAUUCUUCUUACAUAUAUAUAUGCCAUGAAAUUUUUCUAAUGUAUUAACAUGAACUUUCAAGUCUGACGAAAGUAGAACAUCAUCGUUAAAAAGACAAUAAUAACCUUUUUUUAGCCAUUGGGAUUAAUUACUGAGCCGUUUACUCGCAGACAAGCUCUGCAUUUUUAACAAAACUAAACUACGCGGUUCUUUGAAAAUGUUUUGGAUUGACAGGGUGUAUCUUCUUCUGGGUAUUAAAUUGUGUCUAAUUUGCUGAAAUGGCUGCUAAACCGGCAUAUACCGUGGCAUCUGAUAGUGAGAAAACAGGCGAGGAAAAAUCUUCAUUUCCGUUAUCCGGGAUUGCGAUUGCCAUCGAUAUUGGUACCUCUCAAUGCAGCAUUGCUGUUCCGAAUGGCUCCUAGGUGGAGGACUUGAAGAACACCAGGAAUCAGAAGCUCAUGAGGUCAUAUGCAACAUUCAAAAGUGACAUCCCUUCAGAAUGUGGAGUAAGCAAUCAACUGGCUCAUGAAUAUGAAAUGUUAUCUGGAGCCACAAUAUUCAACACAUAACGUUUGAUGAUGUAAUUUUUAUUGUUUUUCAAAUAUGUAGUAUCCUUUUUUCAGAUCUAUUUUUUGAUAUCCGUAUAUAUUUGAUGAUGUAAUUUUUGUCAUUAGUGCAGAUUUUAAUGAAAUUAUGAUAUUUUAUAAAAUAAAAAAAAAUAGAUGAAACGUUUAAUUGGUCGACAGGACACAGGCCUAGUGGUAUCCUCAAACAGGAGAAUUGGAAUUGGGGUGUUGAUACAGGGAACAGUGAAUUGAAACUCGUCAAAUGUUGGUAGGUCUGUUCAAUUGAUUCUGCUAUUGAUGCACGAAUGGAAAGGCAGCAGAAGAGGAAAUCAAAAGGUUUACAAUAUUAUCUGACUAGUUUAUUUCUCGUGUAUUUACACGGAUCAAUUUGCAUUCAAUAGCACAACCAGAAAUUGUAACAUGAAUUUUAAAAAUCUAAAUGUUCAUUUAAUAGAUAAACUAUUUUUUGGCUCAAUAUUUUAAAAGAGUUUGAGAAUGAAAAAAAUAAAUUUUUUCUUUCACGUUGGGCUAAUGGAAUUGAAUUAAUGGCAUUGAGUAAUAGGCUAAAAUUAAGGAAUUAACCAACGGAAAAAAAAAAGUCAAAUUUCAAAGCAUUAACAAAAAAACAUAUAACAAAAUCCAAUAAUAGGAGCAAGGAAAAAAGAGUAAUAGGAGUAAUGAUAUGAAAGAAAAUUCCAAGGGGAGAGAUGGGUUGGUUGGUAUAGAGAUAGAGAAAUAUCAAAUAAAAUACAAUAAAUUUCGUAAUGGCCUUGUCAUUAAUAAUGGGACAUAAUGGGAUUGAAUUAAUAAUCAAGUCAAAUAAUAGGAGCAGAAAAAUAGAAAAAAAAAUGUGACUAAUUAUAAAUUUUCCUAAUCACAAUAAAAGAAAGAAUCUUGUGAUUGAGAAAGGGAAUUAAAAUCAUGGAUUGAUUGAUUGAUUGAUUGAUUAAAUAUGAGGACAAGUAUAAUUGGCAAAAACAUAGAAAAGUAAAAGAGUAAUAUAUUGAUUGGAAUUUAGAGAAUAUAAAGAUAUAGUAAUAAAUAAUACAAAAAAUGGUAAUAAAUAAUUGGAAUGAUAGGAAAAAUGAAAGUUUGCCUAAAUUUUGAUAAUGAUACUAAAUGCUCGAGCCAAUAAUAUGAAUAGAGAAUUAAAAAGGAAAGGUCCGAGCUGAUUGGGAAAAAAAAAAAUCAAGGCAUAAUUAAUACAAAUGCAUAUAAGGUAAGUAAUUGAUGAUUGAUUGAAAUUUUCUAUAAACAAUAAAGUGAAAAAAAAACUGUAAAUUAAUUGUUACCAAAAAAGAAAAAGAAUGCAAUCUACCAAAAAAAUAUAAACAAACAUAAAAAUGUUUUUUGCCAAAUGGCAAGAUGUUAGGACGUUCACUUUGUAGAACGUAGAUAUAUCCAACUUAUGAUAGAAAAUUAAACAUUGUUUCAUUUUAUGUGUGUGAUUUUUUUUUUUUUUUUUUUUUUUUAGUUUAAGUGGGAGGGCUCAUGUCGGGACUUUUCACUUACACUGCUUCCCGAACCACUCAACUCAUUUCAUUGGUAAUUCAAAUCAGUUUUGAUUAUGCUAUUUUGUUGACUUAAGGACCUUCUACUUUUUUUUUUUUUUUUUGGGUCUAAACCACGUUUGGGAUGUGGGAAUUAUCCUUGCCUAUUUUAGCGGGUCUGGGAAUUUUUUUUGUUCUUGUACCAAGUGUGGAGUAAUUACAUGAAUUUGGCAUCUAAGUUGAAGAAUAAUGGGAUACUGCAAUUAGAUUCUCAUAGCAUGAAGGCUUGUUCCAGUUCUUUGAUAACUAUUGUUGAUAGUAGAUGCUUAAUUGCGACUUGCUUCUCGUGCCAAACAUUCACAUGAUAUAUAAGUAUUUACUACAAAUGCAUAUAUUGAAGGGAUAAUUGCAGAAACCUCAGGGGAGGUUUCUGACAUUUUCACUGACCUCCCUUGUGGUUUGAAAAAUUACGCUAACCUCCCCUGAGGUUACUAAUCCUUUACAAAUUCAGUCCAAAGGAUUAAAAUAUUAUUUUAGGGAGUGAAAUUAGAAUUUUUUACCAAAUUUGUCCUCUGUACUACAUGUCCAAUGAAUGACAAAAUACUAUAAAUCAAUUAACAAUUAAUAAACUUUAAGGAGUAUAAUUUAUGGGUAAACACGCAUUACUCAUUUAAAGUAUGUUGGCCUAAUCAGCAACAUUCUUCAGAUCCCGGUUCGAAGGGACUAACCGUCCAACCCGCGGCACCCAGGGGUGCAACCCUUCAUGCUGGCCGAGCAUGGUACGGUACUUUGCACUGCCAUUGUGGUUAAGGAAAUAAAGUUGCACCUUCGCUAAUAACUAUAGCUUUUGAUGCAAUGGUAAGCUCUUAAUCCUGACAAAGUACCGGCUUUUUACGGGUAUUUUACUUUCAAAUAUUUAAUUUAUGAUAAAUAUAUCAACAUUUGUAAGUAAAAUUAAAAAAUUGUUAUAGUAAUAUUCUUGCAAAAAGAAAAUCGAUAGGUUAUUUAUUUAAUAAAAAUUAAAUAUUUUUUUUAAAAAUAAAUGGCCCAUAAAGUAUUAGUUUUUUAUAAUUUUCAUCCAUUACACAAGUAAAGUAUUCGCUCUUUAUGUGCAUUUUAUUUUGAAUCAUUUAAUUUAUAUUAAAUACAUAAAUGUUUGUAACUAAAAUUGAAAAAGUGUUAUAUUAAUAUUUUUACUGAAGAGAGAUUGGUAGGUUUUGUAUUUAACAAAAAUUAAAUAUUUGAAAGUAAAUACAAAUAUGUAUUUGAGCGUAAAUAUUUGUAUUAAAUUAAAUGUUUGAAAAUAAAAUACCCUUAAUGAACCUGUACUUUAAAUAGUUACCGCCUCUUUAUAGGCAAACACGCAUUACUCAUUUAAAGUACCGGCUUUAUACGAAUAUUUUACUUUCAAACAUUUAAUUUAUGAUAAAUAUAUCAAUAUUUUUAAGUAAAAUUCAAAAAGUGUUACAGUAAUAUUCUUGCAAAAAGAAAAUCGGUAGGUUAUUUAUUUAAUAUAAAUUAAAUAUUUUUUUAAAAAAAGAAAUGGCCCAUAAAGUAGUAAUUAUUUAUGGCUUUCAUCCAUUGCAUGAGUAAAGUAUUGGUUCUUUAUGAGUAUUUUAUUUUGAAUCAUUUAAUUUAUGUUAAAUAUAUAAAUAUUUGUAACUAAAAUUGAAAAAGUGUUAUAUUAAUAUUUUUACGGAAAAGAGAUUGGUAGUUUUUGUAUUUAACAAAAAUUAAAUAUUUGAAAGUAAAUACAAAUAUGUAUUUGACCGUAAAUAUUUGUAUUAAAUUAAAUGUUUGAAAGUAAAAUAUCCAUAAAGAACCGGUACUUUAAAUAGGUAAUGCGUGUUUGCCUAUAAAUUAUACUCUUUAAAGUUUAUUAAUUGUUAAUUAAUUUGUAAUAUUUUGCCAUUCAUUGGACAUGUAGUACAAAGGACAAAUUUGGUAAAAAAUUCUAAUUUCACUCUCUAAAAUAAUAUUUUAAUCAUUUGGACUGAAUUUGUAAAGGAUUAGUAACUUCAGGGUAGGUUAGUGUAAUUUUUUAAACCACAGGGGAGGUCAGUGAAAAUGUCAGAAACCUCAGGGGAGGUUUCUGCAAUUAUCCCUAUAUUGAAUGGUAUCCGUCAAUAGCGCAAGGAACUUUGAUUUUUAAUAAUUCAAAAGUACUUGAAAAGCUAUCUAAUACCAUGAGAUUUCUAUUCAUGACUUUGAUAUGGUCGAUAAAAGAAGGAACUUUGAUUUCUUGCAUUUCCUACAGAUACCCUACAAAUACGAAACUACAAUUGCUUUAACAGUGGAUUUCUUUCAAAGAAGUUUGCUGGCCGAAGCUCAAAACCACCGUGGAUUCUUGGCAUAACUGGAAAAUCUUCUUGGCAGGGAAUGUGGUGGAAUCCAAUCGUGUGCCAAAGCACAAUGUCUUUGUUUACAAUUGGUCUAUUCCUGCAGGGUAACACAAAUGAGAAAAUAGCUAGCCAUGCAUUAGAUUCAUUGACGCAAAAAAGUACAAAUUCUUCAGGACAGAUUUUGCAAUAUAUUGACUUGAACUUGCUACGAGAAGGUAAAUAAAUUCAAUAACAAGGUUUUCCGUUAGAAAGUUAAAGCAGAGAAAAGAUGCGAUGCUGAUUAAUGUCUUCAAGAAAUGAAUGUAACGAAAAUGAUCGUGUUCCAAAAUUACCUCCGCGUCCAAACUGCUAAGCCGUCAUCUCCCUGGCUUCUGUCAGCAUAAAACCCUCCAGCCCAUCUUUCUGAUUUGUUAUAGCUAGUUACCCACACUUGAUACUUAGUAUAGGCCGCCCGAAUCUGUGGAUAAUCAUCAUCAGCUAGCAGAGAAAUGGCUGGCUGGCUGGGGAUCAGCCGAUAACCUACAUGAUUUCCAAUCUUUGUUCUGUUAUUAGGAUUGACAAAUAGGAGUUCAGCAGGUUCCCAACCUAGUUGAAUCCGAGCAUCAGUUUCCGUUUUAACUGUUUCUUUGACUACUUCCCAGUAACUCUUCCUUAGUGAAAAGUGCUUGUCCUUCACCCUUUUGGUCCUUAAUUUUGCUUUCAUGAAGGAAUUGUUGAUACUAUCGACAUCAAGGUCAAGAUAGUAUGUCAAGAAAUGAUCAUGGUAGUUACCGACAGUAUUUUCAGCCACCAGGGUCCCAUAAAUAUCCUCAGUUAUCUGGUGACUAAAGAUGUAGGGCACUGGCUUCAUUUCCAGCACGCCUGUAAGACUGACCUGAAAUCAAGGUAAAUAAUAUUGGCAGAAAUUAGUUGCAUUCAUAAGGUGCGCUAUGACUCUGCAUAUUAAUUAGUCACAGUUCCAAUCAAGAAAGUGACUGGAGUGGGCGGAAACAAAAAUCUAAGGUUGCUUACCCCAACUUUGAUGGACCCAGAUUGCUGGAAUUCCCAAUCAAGCACAUAAUCAUAAUUUCCAACUGUUGACACCAUUCUAACCACCAAAUUAAUUUCUUGCUGCCCUGUAAUUAUCUGCAAAAUUAAGAAAAACUUGAACAUAAUUGUGAGCUUAGAGUUGUAUUUACUACUAGGAUUUCUAAAUUUACCACUCUUCCUGGAACACCAAGUUCUGUAUGCCUCCAAGCAGGAUUUCCUUUGUCUUGGUCAAAAAUGCAGAUGGCUCUAGGGAUUGAAUGUGCCUUUCCAUCAACCCCUGCCAAGUAUCCAUCCAUAUAUACGGCAUUUCCUGGACAAUCAAUCAGUGGAACAAGAGUGUUGGCAGAGUGGCCAAAACCAAAUUCACCAACGUCCAUGAAAGUCCUGUAAUACCAUUCAGUGGUAGGAUCCAUGUAUGGAACAAAUGUCUCUGACACAUGGCCUCUAUAGAGAACAUCCCUGAACUUGUUUCUUCCAGCAUCGAAAACAGAAGCUGUUGAUAUAAUUAGUCCAGCCCGAGCAUCAAAUGCUACAUGGAAUUUCCAGUUUGCCCAACGGACUACAUUCCCAGUGAUAGUGGCAUUUGUGUGUGUAUCAUUGCAGGUGCCAGGUUUGGGUCUCUGACCUGACGAUUGGAAAUCACUACCUUCAGCUCUGGGGAGCAAUGAUUUUUUUCUGUCAACAAACUCAAUAAUUUUCAUCGAUUCAACAUCGACAAGUAUGCUCAUUCCUGAAAUGGGCCGUGCCCAAAUGUUAGUAGUUCCACCACGGUAGAAGCAUGAAAGCCUAAGAAGUCUUCUAGUUACAAUCUCACCAAACCAGCCUGUGGUUAAUGGCAAACAUGUUACUUCUGACACAUUUAGUCCCCUUUUUAAGAUUGAGUCUUGAAAAUGAGGAUCCUUGGAUGGUAGUCUGCUGGCUUGGAAAAAUUCCUCACUGGCAAAUGGAGGGUAACCAUGGCCAGUGUAGACUUGGUCACACAAGAUUGAACUAGUUGAUAAAUCUACAAUCAGGUCAUGACUCUUGCUGCUAGCGCGAACCACGACCCUGGCUCGACGAUAAGGGAAAGAUUCAUCUUUCUUAUGGGAAGACAACCACUUGAGGACAUGAUCUUUCUCUGGUUCUUCAAGGUCAACAAAAUGAAAGGUUAAAUUAGGAAUGGAACCAAGGUGAGACUUAUGAACUAUAAGCUUAAUUUGGUUGAUCUCAGUUGGGCUGAGGGGAUCUAGGGGGUGACAUAUGCUUGGCCAGGAUAAGGAAAUCAAGAUAAAGGCAAAAACUGGAAGUAGUGUAGUCAUCGGAUAUGCUUUGUCUCCAAAAUUGGUGUAAAACUGGUGCUUUCAGAUCCAACUACUGUUUGCAGAUAAAUAAUAGGGGAUAGAUUCUUCUUCAUACCAUUGAAAUUAAUACUUUACAUGAUUGAGAGAUCGUGUUAUUCGUCUAUUUUUCUCAUGAAGGAUAUCCCAAGUAGUCUUGGUACGCCAUGUUACAUUAUGACACAUGCCUUACUAAGCAAGCAAUGUACCAUCAAUUGCAAUUAAUGUGGAAUAGAAAAAUAGCAAAAAGUUCUUUUCUUGCGUUCAGGGUAAGUUCUUUUCUUGUUUUCAGGGCCAAGAAUACUCGAUUUUCUCUGCUUUUCUGGUUAUAAAGGAAAAAGUUGUUCUUCUUUUCACUUCACAGGUUCACCACUUAACGCGCAGUUCAAGAACUUGAAUGGUGAAGGUGCAUAUGAUCAGAUGUGAGUUUAGGUAAGACAUUUGCUAAUUAUGAACGGUACCUAGCUGUUGAUCACUGAAUUAAAAUGGUCAACCACUUAAAACAAAGACGCGUAAUUGCCUUGUUCCUUUUCUUAUUGUCAGAUUUUGAUCGUUGCGGUCCAUGCGGACCAUGACUUGAUGUAGUGCCUUCGGGUAUUCUCAACCUUUUGUUUCACCAAUUAUUGCACGCUAAGGACCAUUUCUUUUGAUUUCUAUUAAAGACACUACUGUCUUCACGUGAUUGCACUUUCUAAAAUUCUCACAGCCAACUCAAAUACAAGGAGAGUCCCAAAUUUCCAGUUACAGCUGGACUUUAUUGCCAUAUUCCAUAAUGAAAGACAUGAUUAAACAGCUCCAGUUCAAUGCUGAAUUAAGCAAAUAUGAGAGAAACUACUAGAUCAUGGGCUGAGCUCAAUUUGUACAGUUAAAACCAUGUUGGCAUUCUUUGCUGCAUUUAAGCUGCUCAACUUUUCCAAGCGAUUUCACUUUAAGUACUGGAUUAUGCUCAAAGAAAUUUGCAGGCCUGA